rnacentral:lncRNA from 1 species
CUUAUGGCCAACAUGUCACUUCUAAUAUUCUUUGCUAUUUCAACUCUGAGUUUUAUAUUAACCUUUUCUCUUAAAUUUUGUAGUCAGAAUGCUAAUGUACUGCGGAUUUUGUUGCAGUGUGAAGAAGCUUGGCCUGAUCCUCUUUUAAUCUCUGGUCAACCAAGCAUAGAGGCUGGCAAAUGUUCAUGGCAAUGUUACCAAUCUUUUGCACUCCACAGAAAAUAAAAAAAGAUAAGAAGAAAUCAGGGCAGAACUGCCGCAAGCCAUCCCUCGACGCUAACGAAAACAGAAAGAAUUUACUAUUCAUUUAUAUGAAAUGCAAUGAAGGCUUUCCUAAGAUCACAGAGGACGGGGUGACUGCAGGAUUUUGUGCCAAGCUUAAAACUUCAUGUCAAACGUUUACAACCAAAGAUCUUCAGCGCUCAAUAGACAGAUCGGCUUCAGUCAGGAGCAAAACUAUUCACAUAUAAGGAUCAUUGCCACCAUGCCAUUUGCGCAAUCUUGUUAAAGACCCCCCAGGAACAAGGGGGUUACAGACCCAUAUCACAAACUCUUGUCAGUGCAGUUCUAAAGAUUUACCAGCCCUAAUUCCAAAGCACUAUCCAUAAUGCAAAAAUAUAGAUACUCCUUAAAUUAUGCUUUUCUAAAAAAGUAAAAACUUAGGUCAGAAAUAGCUUCCAUUUGGUUCUUAGGUUGGUGGUGUUUGUUGUCCUGUUCUAUUUGAAAGGGAGUAUGUGAUAUUACAACUGCCUCCUGCAGACAUUUUUGAUUCACGAAUCUGCAGAUGGGGAACAAGUUCAUUGUUCCAGCAACAGAAGAAGCCAAUGUGGAAGGCACUGUAUCGUCCAGAGGAAGGCAGUGCACAAGCAGCUUUGGACUGCUCACUGAAGCAAUGAUUUUCAACAUGUACAAAACCCCAUCUGUUUUCUGGUAAAAGGAUGUCUGUCUGUAUGGCAAAUAAUGUUAAAUCUAAAGGCUUAGAGCUAAAAGGGUGAAUAAGAGAAUAAUAAAAGCCAGUGUUUCUUAAGUAUUCCCA